GACGAACGCUGGCGGCGUGCCUAAUACAUGCAAGUAGAACGCUGAAGGAGGAGCUUACUUCUCUGGAUGAGUUGCGAACGGGUGAGUAACGCGUAGGUAACCUGUCUGGUAGCGGGGAAUAACUAUUGGAAACGAUAGCUAAUACCGCAUAAGAGUAGAUGUUGCAUGACAUUUACUUAAAAGGUGCAAUUGCACCACUACCAGAUGGACCUGCGUUGUAUUAGCUAGCUGGUGGGGUAACGGCUUACCAAGGCGACGAUACAUAGCCGACCUGAGAGGGUGAUCGGCCACACUGGGACUGAGACACGGCCCAGACUCCUACGGGAGGCAGCAGUAGGGAAUCUUCGGCAAUGGACGGAAGUCUGACCGAGCAACGCCGCGUGAGUGAAGAAGGUUUUCGGAUCGUAAAGCUCUGUUGUAAGAGAAGAACGAGUGUGAGAGUGGAAAGUUCACACUGUGACGGUAUCUUACCAGAAAGGGACGGCUAACUACGUGCCAGCCGCCGCGGUAA
rnacentral:rRNA from 1 species